GUCGACACCCUUGCAACCCUGCUGUACCGGGCGACGGACGACGACUCUGCGAUAGGUACGGGGCAGCCAGAGUCACCGUGUUUGUCCAGUGGAGUCCCGACUCCAAUCGACUUCAUUCCCCUCCGAAAAUCAAAGAAGCAGCAGAAAGAAAUGCAGGGGAAUAUUCCGCGCCAGGCCGCCGCUUCUUAAAAGCUUCUCUGACUCUGACUCCGAUAGGCGGAGGAGGAGGCUACGCUUGUAAGGAGGAGAAGGAAGCAAGGAGGGAGGCAGCAGAAGCACCAUGGAUUCCCUCUGGCACGCCUCCGUCAUUGUCCUUGUGCUUCUAACCAUUGGAGGAUCCGAUGCCAACCCAGCCGCCCGUCGCCACGGUCAGCUGGAUGUAAACCACAAGAAGCAGCCACUACAGACAUCCAGGCCUUACAACAUUGCCCACAGGGGUUCCAAUGGCGAAAUACCCGAAGAGACAGCUGCCGCAUAUUUGAGGGCUAUCGAGGAAGGUGCAGACUUCAUAGAGACUGAUAUACUUGCAUCAGAGGACGGUCAUCUGAUAUGUUUUCAUGAUGUAACACUGGAUGACACGACCGACAUCGCUAACCGUACCGAGUUCGUUGGCAGGAAGAGAACCUAUGAAGUCCAGGGAGUAAAUAUGACUGGUUGGUUUACCGUGGAUUUUACACUAAGAGAACUGAAAUCACUGAGGGUGAAACAGCGCUUCAGUUUCAGGGAUCAACAGUAUAAUGGGAAGUACAAUAUUCUUACAUUUGAUGAGUUUAUCUUGAUUGCACUUCAUGCUGACAGGGUGGUCGGAAUAUACCCAGAGAUCAAGAAUCCUAUUUUCAUCAACCAGCAUGUCAAGUGGUCAGGUGGCAAGAAGUUUGAGGACAAGUUUGUCGAGACGCUUCUCAAGUAUGGCUACAAAGGCAAAUAUAUGUCCGAAGAUUGGCUCAAGAAGCCGCUAUUCAUCCAAUCCUUUGCUCCAACCUCACUAAUUUACAUCUCAAACAUCACAAAUGCUCCAAAACUACUUCUAAUAGACGAAACCACAGUUCCAACUCAAGAUACCAAUCAGUCAUACUAUGAGAUAACUUCGAACGGCUAUCUCGCAUUCAUAAGCAAGUAUGUAAUUGGGAUUGGGCCAUGGAAGGAUACAAUUAUCCCCCCAGAGAAUAACCUUUUAGGCCCUGCAACCGAUCUUGUGGCACGGGCACAUGCUCUGAAUCUUCAGGUGCAUCCAUACACAUUCAGAAAUGAGAACUCAUACCUGCACUUCAACUUCCAUCAAGACCCUUAUGCUGAAUAUGAGUACUGGCUCAGAGAGAUCAGAGUCGACGCGCUGUUCACCGAUUUCACCGGCAGCUUGCGCAAGUACCAGGAGUGGACAGCUCCGCACCAAAACAAAGAAAAGAAGUGCAGAGGACCUCCUGCAUGAGAUCGCCCAGACGCUGAAGGUUGAUGCUCACUAAAGCUUAGGUUGCCAAGUCUGUAUACCUCCUACCUUUGAGGAGUUAUUUCACUGUUGUCAGUACCGAGAAAAUGGACUGGUCAAUACCAUUCUAUGUAAUUGCUUCCUACAAAUCACGGGAAGUGGCAACUUUAGAGCAUCAUGGAGUUCCAAAAAACUUCAUUUAGUGAAAAUUUUCUUCCCGUUUCUGCGGGACAUGCCAACGUUUCUAAAAAGGGAUAAUUUGGCAUGCAGUCUGAAUCGUUUUCC
rnacentral:rRNA from 1 species